AUUGAACGCUGGCGGCAGGCCUAACACAUGCAAGUCGAGCGGAUGAAGGGAGCUUGCUCCUGGAUUCAGCGGCGGACGGGUGAGUAAUGCCUAGGAAUCUGCCUGGUAGUGGGGGAUAACGUCCGGAAACGGGCGCUAAUACCGCAUACGUCCUGAGGGCGACAGUGGGGGAUCUUCGGACCUCACGCUAUCAGAUGAGCCUAGGUCGGAGUAGCUAGUUGGUGGGGUAAAGGCCUACCAAGGCGACGAUCCGUAACUGGUCUGAGAGGAUGAUCAGUCACACUGGAACUGAGACACGGUCCAGACCCCUACGGGAGGCAGCAGCGGGGAAUAUUGGACAAUGGGCGAAAGCCUGAUCCAGCCAUGCCGCGUGUGUGAAGAAGGGCUUCGGAUUGUAAAGCACUUUAAGUUGGGAGUAAGGGCAGUAAGUUAAUACCUUGCUGUUUGGACGUUACCAACAGAAUAAGCACCGGCAAACUUCGU
rnacentral:rRNA from 1 species